UUGCUUCAAUGGCAAAUGUAACAAGAUUGGAAGAAUAUAGAAAAGAUUAGCAUGACCCCUUUGCAAAGAUGACACAUGACACACACACACACACACACACACACAUUUAU
ensembl:snRNA LOC120101970 U6 spliceosomal RNA